rnacentral:rRNA from 1 species
GACGAACGCUGGCGGCGUGCUUAACACAUGCAAGUCGAACGGCAACGCCCUGCUUGCGUGGGGUGAUCGAGUGGCGAACGGGUGAGUAACACGUGAGUAACCUGCCCUUGACUUUGGGAUAACUUCAGGAAACUGGGGCUAAUACCGGAUAGGAUCUCCCGUUGCAUGGUGGGGGUUGGAAAGUCUCGGCGGUUGGGGAUGGACUGGCGGCUUAUCAGCUUGCUGGUGGGGUAGUGGCUUACCAAGGCAGUGACGGGUAGCCGGCAGGGGAGGGUGACCGGGCACAAUGGGACUGAGGUACGGCCCAGACUCCUACGGGAGGCAACAGUGGGGAAUAUUGCACAAUGGGCGGAAGCGUGAUGCAGCGACGCCGCGUGCGGGAUGACGGCCUUCGGGUUGUAAACCGCUUUCGCCUGUGACGAAGCGUGAGUGACGGUAAUGGGUAAAGAAGCACCGGCUAACUACGUG